ensembl:lncRNA
AAGGCAAACCAAGUUGUUAACAGUGGUUACUGCUAAGUAGAAAUAUGGAUUUUUUUCUCAUUAGGUUUUUAGAUUUUUUCAAUAACGAGCAUGUUUCUCGUGUAAUUUUUUACAGAGAAAACGAUUUGGGGUGUAUGCCCUGGGGAUUUCUACUCAGUGGAAGCUGGGUCCCUGGGCACUGCCCCAGCCAUCCCACCCCUUCUCUUCCCUGUACCCUCGUCCCCAGCCACCCCUCCCCUUCCCAUAAGCCCUUAGCCACGUGAAGAGAGGCAGGGAGCAGGGGCUCCUCAGAGUGCCCCCCCUCCCAGAGUUCCAGGUCAUGUGCUUUCCCCUCCUCCCCUGCCUGCCUGGUCAUUUCAGAUGAAGGCCUGGAGGUCCACCAGGAGGUAGUUUCCAGCAAGAAGGAGACGGAGGCCAGGCUGUCCCACAGAGGCCGGCCUUUUUCCCAGGACUAUGACAAGGCACGGCUGCCCUUCUUUCUCCACUGGGAGACUGGGGAGGUGAGUCUCCUGCCCGUCCUUGAGACGCAGCCAGCUCCCUCCCCCUCCCCCAGGAGCCUACAGGGCUCGCCCUGAGUCCCAAAUGAAGUCACAGGCUGGAGCCCCCAGGAGGCCAUGUGGACACAGGGGACAGUUAUGGUGACAACUUGCCAGGCAACUUGGGCAAGAGAGGGAGGGGUUCAGGAAGCGCAGCCCCAAAAUAUUGCCCCGCAGCAUGCGGAACAUUUUAAGCUGAAGGAGCUUGAGAAAAUGGCAGAAGCAGGAGGGUCACUCUGACCUCCCCCGACCCUUGUCCCCUGACAAAGGCCCUCAUUCUCGGACUUUGGGAGGCUUCUCAUUUCUGAAGGCUGGAGUGAUGGCGGGGAUGGAGGGCUGGGCUGGGAGAACUGAAGGUGAGCAAAUGGGAAGAGGUUGGAGCCCUCCCUCACCCCGGACCAGGGUGGGAGUUGGAAGUUGGAAGUUGGUUUGGUUCUAGGAGGACGUCUGAGGCCUGCCAGGUGUCCCACUCUGUGCAGAAGCGCAUGGUGAUUAAGACCAAGGAUCCUUGCAGCUACGAGGGGCUGAGGCAAGACCUCCACCAGCUAAGCCAGUGGCCACACAGCAGAGUCCCCACUCCCUUGGGUUCCAACUUCCAUCUCCAAAACCACUGUCUCCUCUGCGUUAAGGGGGUGAGUCAGCUCUCGGGUCGCAAAGGCCCUCUCCCCAGCCUCACCUUUUCUCGGUGUCCCCAGCAAUGUAGGUUUAUUUAUUCUGUGAUACAAAUUCUGCCACUCGCUAAGAAGGCAAAAGUGAUUGCAACCAUUUUCUUUUCAAUGACAUUUCUCUAGUCGAUGGCUGCUUUAUCAAAGCCCCCUGAGAUUUCUGUAGUGAGCUCCUCCUGUCGCAUUUAGAAUAGGGUGUGACUGUCACAAAUUUGACUCACCAGGGUUUUUUCUCCUGCAGCACCAUGCAGAGAUAAAGUCCCGCAGUUCAGGCCUGAGGAAGUGGGAGAGCUGGUUACCUGCACCCUCAUGCCAACCGGGCGGUGUCUGGCAUGAGUGGGAAGGUCGAGGGACGGCAGGAGGGGCCACAUUCCCCUGGACAGAGAGUUGGGAACUGCGCGCCUGGCACCCCAGCCCUCCCGCGCCUGCCACCUGGUCUUGGCGCUGCCCCCAGCAUCCCUCUUCUCGAGAACCCCUCUCCGGCUCCAGCCCCACUUGCGGGCUCCCCAGUGGCGGCCUGGAGGAGCUGUGGGUGUGGUGAGGGCUCUGGGGGCGGGCCUGCGCGAGGGAUCCUGGAGAGCUGGACGGGCUGCAGGCAGGAGGCAUCCCCUCUCCACUUACCUGGCAGUCACCGCUCAUCUGCCUCCGCCUGGCCCAGGGACUUGGCCAAGUCCUUUCACUCGCUGGCCUCCGAGGCCAGGGCCCAGACACUCUGGGGCUGAACCCACACCUGGUUCACGCUCCGGUUCUGAACGCCUUGCUUUACUUCUCAGUGCAUCCGUGUCCACACCUGCAAAGUAGAAGAAUAAAACAGAAUGAAGCUGUUUAGUGAAAACACCUUGCAAACACUCAAACCGCCAGGGUCAGAUCCAGUAUAGCAUCAGCAAGUGGAGUGGAAAACAGCAUCCAGGCCCCCUGGUCCAGUAUUCAGUCCUCUGUGCUCUGUGCCCUUCUGUCCCCCGGCCCACGGCAUUCAGCCCCCAUAGUGUGACCUUGCCCCCCCCGCCCAGCACCUUCCUGGUGGACACGGCCACCUCCACUCAAUCAGAGGUCUCCCUGGCCACGCUCGGAGUUCCUGGACUUCAGCAGCAUGGAGCAUGCACCCUGCAGGAGAUGGUCCUGUGCACAGCCGCCCUGGCCCCCCAGCCAUCCCAGACCUGCUGAGUCUGCUGCAGAAUACCCACACCAACACUCUACCCAAGGGGGCUGUGGGCAUAGCUCGGGGAGGGAGGAAUGAAGAGGAUAAUGGCAGCAAACACUUAGGCAGCACUUAGCAUGUGCCACACUGUGCUAAGGGGUUUGUGUGGAUUGCAAAGUCAUGCAAAAAUAUACAUUUCAAUCCUCACAAUAAUCCUGUGAAAUACAUACUGUUAUUAUUAUCCUCAUUUUAUAGAUGAAGAAACUGAGGCUCAGAGAGGUUAAAUAACUUGCCAAAGAUUACACAGUGAGUGGUGGAGUCAGAAUUGGAAGCCAGGUAGUCUGGCUCCAAGGCCUCUGCUGUUCAGCGCAUGAGGCUCCAGAGGCCACCCCAGCGCUGUUGCAUUGUCUCUCUCAAGGCCCCACCCCCACCCCAUGCUCCUCCCACCCACGUGGAGUAAAGGAGAACCUGUGGAGCUCAGAUGGGACAGAGGUUGGGAAACCACUGGCCUAAGAGCAGGAGACUUGAGGUCCGUCAGGAACGUACUGCAUGACCGUGGGCAAAUGUCUGUAGGAAACUGGCCUCAGUUUCCCCAUGGGGCUGGGCAGGGUCCUCUCUAAUGUCCACUCUAGCUCUGACAUUCUGUGGUCUGUGAGAAAGCAGAGGCAGUGAGGAGGGACAGUGACCCAACAUUGACCUUUCCCUGCCCAGGCCCCAGGCUCCUCCUACUGCCCACCCAGCUCGUUCCCAGGGAGGGAGAAGAGCACAGGCUCGUGCACUGUGGAUGCUGAUGGUGAGUGGUCAGAACUUAGGAAGGCCCAGAGAGCUCAUGGGGCAUGCCGGAGCCACACAGCCAUGUGGGGUUUCCUUUCUCUCCAGAAUUCCCUGAAUGGAAGGCCCUUGGAGCUGCCCACUGGGGAGUCUGGGAUUAUCAUGCUGGGAGUUGUCUUUGGAAAGGGGGCCCAGCAGGGGUGAUCUAGGCAGCUGGUCCCCGAGAGUUGGAUCUUGAAGGUCAGGGUCGCUUCUGACAGGUGCUGAUUGAGAGGCUGGCAUCCUAGGCCAGAGGAACAGCCCAGGCAAAGGCAAGGAGGUUGAGGUGAUGGGGCCAAUCUGUGGCUGCUGUAGUUUGAGGUCUAGUGGGAGAUGAGAUGGGAAGGCUUAGGAGUUUGGGCAACGUCCAGCAGACAGGUGGCUAUAGGGAGUGACUGAGCAGGGAGUGACCGCAGAGACCUGGGCUCUGCCAGCAGGAGGUGAGCCAGGCCAUGUCCCUGCUCCUGGACGGACUGAGCAAAGUGUCAGGCAACUCAGAGCAGAGGCGGUCUCUGCUGGCCCUGAGGCACGCCUGCUUCCCUGGAACCGUGUCCCUCCCCCAGCACUACAUUUGCUUCCCACAGCCUCCUCUGCCACCACCUGGUCCAGGCACCACCGCCUCCUGGGCAAUGGCAGUGGCCUUGCUCUGACCCAUUCCCUGCUUGGUAGCCUUUAAAAUAGCUGCACCGGUUCUCUGACUGGGCCAGCAACCUGUGGACCCGUUCCUCCUGGAAAGCACCUGCUCAGGCUGUUCCCACUGCUUGCAAUGCUCUUCCCAGCACUUCCCUGCUGCCUCCUUAUCCUCGGGUCUCAGCACAAUCACGGCUCCUUCUGAGAGGCCUCCCUGACCAUCUUGCCCAUAGAUAGUUCGCCACCUCAUUCUCCAUCCUAACACCCUGUGCAUUCCCUCCCAGCACUGUCACAGUCUGAGAGGGGCUUCUUCACUUCAUUCUCAUUCAUUAUCUGCCUCCUCCAUCAGACCCUCAGCUCCAUGAGGGGAGGGACCAUGUCUGUCAUGUUCACCUCUGUAAGGCCCCAAAGCACACAGUAGGUAUUCAAUAAAUGUUUGCUGACUGAAUGACUGAAAGAAGAAGAAUCAGCCCCUGCUCUCAAGAAGCCCCGCCCACCAGAGGGACAGUGAGUGGUGUGAACACAGAUGUAUGUGAAGACAGCUUUGCACGCAUGCACAGAGGAGGGUGCCGCAGACUCAUCUGGGCUCCCAGAGGAGGUGACAUCUGGUCCUAGUCUUGAGAGAAGAGUAGGGAAAAGGCGGGAAGAGCAUGAGGCCUGCAGGGGCGACCACCAGAGCCCCUGUGGUUCCCACUGUGGUCAGGCUGCGGGCGGUGAUGCGUGUGCAAGGCUGACAGCCUGGACGUGUCUCCUCUGGAGGAUGUGAACCUGUGGGCGCAGGAACUGAAAACCAACACCUGGGCAUGGGACAGAGGGGCUCUGAGCUGGCGCCUGAGGUUGUGACAGGGCAUCCAGGGCCCCGAGAUGAACGGGUUUCCCUCAAGCCUGUCCCCACAUGGGCAGCAGGCUUCCUGGACUCCUAGCAGUCUCCUCUCAGCAGGCGCUCAGCCAAGGCAGGGUGGCCCCGGAUUAUCUGGAUAAUGGCUCUAUGUGAGUGAGCAGGAGCCCGAAAAUGGAAAGGGUCUCCCCUUGGGGCUGCCCUGGCAGUGGAUUUCCAGGUCUCUGUGGACAGCCCUUCACCAGGGCCAGCUGACGGCCCAGCUGGAACAGAGGUCCCCCACCGCCCCUGAACACAGCAAUGUUGGCCAGCCCCAUGCGACUGUGUCUGCAGCUCCUGGAGGGGAGACGCCCAUAGGGAAGAGGUGGAACCCCAGGGCCAGGGCCGUUUAGCUCAGACCAGGGUCUGAUGGGAAACUGUUCCAGACCAUCCACUCUCUGCUUCAUGCAUCCACCCACGAUUCACUAACCGUUUAUUGUGUGCCAGGCUCUGAGCUGGAGAGCCAACCUCUGCUCUGGGGGAUUCUCAGGCUAGUGGUGGAGCCAGGUGAGUGACACCCAAGAAGGAUGGGGGAAUGACGGGCUGACGGGAAUAGUAAACAUGAGACAAGGCUUUGGGCAAGAUUACUGUUUCCGCCCUCACUUUUAGCCAUUUCCUUCUAUCUUGUUCCCUGAGGAACUCUGGGGUGGAGAGAAGUCAAUACGCCUUAGCAGGACUCGUUCACUGUUCUCAGUGCCGGCCCUGUGCCGCGUCCAGAGAGAAGUGCAGUCCCUGCCCUCGUUGCUGCUCGGGGGCCAACUGUGGGGCAGGGGCGACACGCAGGCUGGUCUUGUCUCCUGGGCACUGAGGGAGCACUUUCCAGGCACUCAGGAGGGGCUAUAAAGUCUGUCUUGGGAAGACAAGGGAGGGCUCCACGGAGGAAGCAGCCUGGGAAAUGCACUGACGGAGCCUUGAUGGGUCACAGUCCUGCAAUGCAUGAUGGCUGUCCUGGUCCUGCAGUGCACGGUCUCAUCCAAACCCCUCUCAGCACUGUGAGGGAAGACGGAGGCUCAGGCAAGCAUCUCUGGCAAAUAGGCAGUGGGCUGGGCUUUGACCCCAGGCAGUGUGGCCCAAAGACCAGGCUCUACACAGCACAGUCCCCUCUGAAGGGAUGCUGCUGUGGACGGGACUGCAGCUGGCAGAGAGGGGCCGGCUUUCCUGGGUUCCUCUGGCAACAGCCUGAGCAAAGACCUGGAAGCAGGCAGGGGAGGGUGGGCCAAGGCCGAGCGGAUUCUGACAGGGAAUCAGGUAG